AAAUAGGCAUAUCAACAAUAUUGUACCCACUAUGUACCCGCUGCAGGGUGACCCAAAAGACCACAUGAGUCCACUGACUGUAGAAUGUUUUCAACCCGCACCAGAGUGACUAAAGAAAACUUCAGAAUAUCCAACAUUCCUAAUUUUUGAAAUAGCAGAUAUUUAUCCAUGGAAUAGCAGGUUACAGAAGGGUGAGGAAAGCUACUUUUCAACAAUCAGGACCAUAGAAUAUUAUAGAAUAUGCUACCUUGGACUCAGGUGACUUUAAUUACAUCUUCUCUCUGGGCCUGUGGUUUUGGCCACACUUUUAAAGUCGUCUCAAGAUCAUCAUUCAUUCUCAAGAAAUGAAGUUGGCUGGUGAUUGUCAGGUGGGACAGAGAGCCUGAACAAUGUCUUGUGUACAUAUAUAAUAUGGGUUCACCUGUGUGAUUUCCAUAUGAAUCUGCCAUUGAAGUUUAAAAUGAAGGUGCAUUUAAAAGCCCUGCGAUUCUGAGGUUCCUUUGAUUGUCUCUGAGAAGGCUUAACUAAAAGGAUAAAAGAUGAGUCAGGGGUUAACCAAAGAGGAAUCCAGACAUGCCAUUAUGAGUUUCAACCCAAAAGUAACUAAAGUAAUAUGACAGCAUUAUGUAAUAUGAUGACAGGCAAUAUUAUGCUUUUAAAAUGGUCUGGCAGCAAAAUAAUCAAUCAAACAUCCAUCAGUCUUUUAAAUACUUUUUUUGAAUUAAACUAAUAUAUAUUAGAUGAAUGAAAAAAUUGAGAAUUAUACAUACAAUUCAAAAAGUGCCAUAAAGAGUAUCAUCUUAAUAGGCACAGACACCUUUAGAAUUCAGAAUCUCAUUGAUUAUAUAUAUAUAUGCAUAUGUAUAAUUUUUUAUUUGCAAAUCAGUGUGAUUUGCAAACACACACACACACACAUACACAUAUGCAGAAAGUCAUUACAUUGGCAACACAGAAGUACACUGAAAAUCUUCAUUUUAUCAAGGAAGCCAUAAAGGACAUAUACAGAUGUAGUGUUAUAGGAGUAUAACUGAGCUGAAAAUGUCUUGUCGGUUAGUGACAUUUUAGCUCUCAUACCACCAUCAUUAUGCAUGUAUCUUCUGCAAUGCUGCUGUAAAUCUAUCUACAUAUGGCUAAUCACAUAAAGCUAUAUACAAUUCUUAUAAAGUUAUGUGAAGUACAUAAUACUUGAUAAGUGACUGGCAAUGAUAUCUUCAAUCUCACUCUUACAUUGAUAAAAGAUAUAGGUUGACUGAUUGAGGUAUGCCAUGUAGAAUUGUGUACAUAUAGACGACAUGCACAUGCUUGUACAGCAAUGACACUGCCUACUGACUUACUCCUCUGAGUAUAUCUCCAUCAUUAAGUGCCAUGUGACUGUACAUUAACUUACCUACUUUGAUUGCCCCUUAACUUAUGUCUCAUAGAAGCUGUAUAGAAUUGUCUUCCCAACAGAGGCAUGGUAGAGUUCUAAAUUAAGUGCAAAGAUCUGCAACACACACACAGGCAGGCCACAUUAGUCUAACACCUGAUUCUUUACACUACCUAUAUGCAGUGAAAUUUUAAAAAACACAUGCAUGCCCUCUCAUUCUGAUAUAUUUGGGGUGCAGGUUGAACAUGCCACAGUCCAAUCUUGUCAUGUGAUUCUGUCCUCAGUGAAGUUUCUCAGCUACUCGAAAUGACCAAAGCUAUACCAAUUUUACAAUACUUCUCACAACUUUGGGCUGAAUUCUUUCCCUUUCCAUCGUAAGUUCCUCUGAUUAUUCUUUUUCCUUCAAAGUUAUAAAACAUAGACUCAUCUCAGGUAUUGAUGUUUUCUGGGAGCCUCUGGUGCUGCCUCUGCCUCUCUCGACUCCCACUCAUGUUACUUGCUUUUGACUGUGUUUUGAAGGUCGCUCCCCAGUAUAAUGAGAGCUACUGUCUCUAUUCUCUGAAGAUGGAAGCAGAAUAUGAUCUAGAAGCUUGUCUCGGUUUGGAAGUGAUUAAUGUAGAUUCUGAUGAUGAAGGAAAUGAAAACGAGAAAUCUGGCUAAGUAAUCACCGUUCCAACAAAAACAAUUUCAACAAAAAAUGAACCAGAGACAGCAAGAACAAACUGAUAAUGCCAACCACAAAUAAAUUAUUCCCGACUUUCAAAAACAGACCUUGUGAUAGCACUUAAAGUUUUGUGGGGGAUUUGAUUCAUGAGACUUCUGAAUAUAACUGAGAUGGAAAGAGGACACACUUCCUGCCCCACCUGUCACCGGUGCUUAAAAAGGAGUAUGAGCAGAGAGGGAAAAGGUUCAGAUAAAUGCAGAAUUGUGCGUCUGGUAGACAAACUACUCAGAGCUUCAUAAACAUAGACGACAUGACUAAUUUUCUCUUUGUCAUGUUCCUUGGGCCAAAGACUGCAUGUUUUCUAAGAAGAGCUGUUAUACUACCUCAAAGAACAAUGAGCCCUCAGUUGUACAUACAAAGCAUGCAUGGAUGGUGCAUAUGCAUACUCACAUGCAAAGGAAAUGAUCUCCAUACCACAAAGCUAGCCUACCAGUUCCCAGGAUGACUGUUCUCUAUUCCCACCACCCAAAUGCAGCUGACAGUCCACGGAAACUCACAUUUUCAGUAGCUUCUUUUGAGUUAAUAUCCAUGGGCUGUCAUCUCAGCAAUGCAGAAAUGUGCCUGCACUUAUGACUGAAUAUAAGCCUAUGAUUCUUUCUGUCUUUGUAUAGCAUUCUUUUCCAUUUGACAUCUCCAUCUC
rnacentral:lncRNA from 1 species